ACCUAAAACGUCUUACCUAGGAACAUUGAAGACUCGUGUUAAAAGGAACCACCAGCUUUUCGCGAUUACUUCAAAACUACGGCAAGCAGCUGAGACAUAUGGUAAUAUAAUGGAACUGGGCUCCAUGGCGGAUGCAAUGAACUACUUAUUAGAAAAAAAACGUAGUUAAUGUCAUAUGUCCAGCCUACGGAGGUGACAAACACUGCAGCUACGUAACAAGCCCUCUACAGCAACAAAGGAGAUUUCAUCAGGUGACCUCUACAUUUGCACUGGAGGAGAUCUUCCUUUGGCAAAUAAAUUAUUAAGGAGCAGAGGAAGCACAGGGAAAUCUGUCAUGUCUCUGCUAUUGUGAAUUCAAACUCCCUCAGGACAAACACUCAUGUUUUCUUGCCCUCUCCCAUGUUGAGAAUCUUAGGUUCUCCCUGGUCCAAUUAAGGAUUGUGUUACCCUUGAAAAUACUUUCAAAUCUCCAUCCGAUUUUGUAAAGUGGUAAAGACCAUGGACUUUUUGAAGAGGAAACAGAAUGUUUUCCCCACCCAUCAACAGAGGAAUUCUCAUUUGGGAGAAAGGUUAUAUCAGUUGUAGUGUUCAACUUUUGAGCUCUUGGCUUGGGUACCUUCUGUCCCACACGCGGCAAAAAUACUACAGAGCAGUCCUCGUUUAAGCAGAGGUCCCUCCUUGAAACCUCCUUACCCCUUCCAAGUGCUCUGGAGAGCAUUUUACAGUUACCUGGGUUACAUUAGCCCUUCCAAAAUGUGAAAAAACAAUGACAGUCAUGGUUGAGCUGAAGACAUGGAACCAAAGGGAAACUGUACAGUGUAUAAGAAGGAAGACAAUAAAGGUCCGAGUUGAUGAUGGAAAGUCAACAUCACACCCUAAUGUUUCCCUCAGGUUUUUCUGUGCAAUAAUUACAGAGAUGAUAUACAAUGCUUCAAAUCCAUGUACAGCAUGGUUCACAUCCUGGAUAUGAACAUGUUAUGAAUAAGUGUAGCUUAUGGGUUUUAAGUGGUAUCUACCCUUUUUCAUUGGAAGAAAACACACAAGCAAAUCAGCAUGGCAAUUAAGUUUUACAAACUUAUACCAAUGUGUUUUGAAUCAUUUAUCGCCCUUGUUGUUCAUCUCUGUUGUACAUUCCUUUAGGAACAUACAAAAGGUUUCCUAUGUGCUCUAUGGGAUGAGUUAUGAGAAAUUCACCUAAUCCUUAUUAUCAUCAAUUUAAGGACACAUUACCAGACAUCAUGUAUAAUCCCAUUUCCUUAUGGUUAUGCAACUGGAUGCCAAGAUUUGUUGAAACAUGUCGAUGUUUGUUUAUUAGAAACUGAUUUUAUGUGAAAAGAUCUUUGUUUGGCCACAACCAGAAGUUUCACAAACUAGACACACGCACGUGCACACACACACCUGGGAACUCAUUGAUCAUGGCACGUGAAGAUAACCCUCUCUGGAUUGGGUCAAUGUCAACCCUCAAUGUGCCAGAGUGGACAGAGCAUGUCAAGACUCUAUGGAUCUGGAGGGAGAGAUAAAGAGCAGGAUGCAAGUCAUGUGAUGUGACUGACAGCCGUAUCGCAUCGACACAGACAUGGCUGUACAUGUUGCCGUCUCUCCACACAAAAGAACAACACAUCUUAGCCAUAACCACCCUAGUACCUUCUUCCAUUGGGCUAGUGGCAAAUCCUAAAACUGCACCAAAACACCUUGACACCGUGGGCAUUUAAGUUUGAAACUAAUAUGUUCUAUGUUGCUGUGUCUUGUAUGUACCAAUUUGUCACCACACAUGGAAGUUCCCUUCCAAUAAAUAAAAGUUAUUUGAAAACUG